GAUGAAGAACGCAGCGAAAUGCGAUAAGUAAUGCGAAUUGCAGAAUUUCCGUGAGUCAUCGAAUCUUUGAACGCACAUUGCGCCCCUUGGUAUUCCGGGGGGCAUGCCUCUUCCAGCGUCAUUUCACCCCUCAAGCUCUGCUUGGUUUUGGGCCGCGCCGGCAACGGCGGGCCUCGAAAAUAGUGGCGACGCCAUCGUGCUCUCAGCGUAGUAAUUCUUCUCGCUGUUGGGUUCCGGUGGUCGUCCGCCAGCAACCCCCAACUUUCUUAAGUUUGACCUGGGAUGAGGUAGGGAUACCCGCUGAACUUAAGCAUAUCAAUAAGCGGAGGA
rnacentral:misc_RNA from 1 species